rnacentral:rRNA from 1 species
UCCUACGGGAGGCAGCAGUGGGGAAUAUUGCACAAUGGGCGAAAGCCUGAUGCAGCGACGCCGCGUGAGGGAUGACGGCCUUCGGGUUGUAAACCUCUUUCAGCAGGGAAGAAGUGACGGUACCUGCAGAAGAAGCACCGGCUAACUACGUGCCAGCAGCCGCGGUAAUACGUAGGGUGCGAGCGUUGUCCGGAAUUAUUGGGCGUAAAGAGCUUGUAGGCGGUUUGUCGCGUCUGCUGUGAAAAUCCGGGACUCAAUUCCGGACUUGCAGUGGGUACGGGCAGACUAGAGUACGGUAGGGGAGACUGGAAUUCCUGGUGUAGCGGUGAAAUGCGCAGAUAUCAGGAGGAACACCGAUGGCGAAGGCAGGUCUCUGGGCCGUAACUGACGCUGAGAAGCGAAAGCAUGGGGAGCGAACAGGAUUAGAUACCCUGGUAGUCCAUGCCGUAAACGUUGGGCGCUAGGUGUGGGGCUCAUUCCACGAGCUCUGUGCCGCAGCUAACGCAUUAAGCGCCCCGCCUGGGGAGUACGGCCGCAAGGCUAAAACUCAAAGGAAUUGACGG